rnacentral:rRNA from 1 species
AAAACGACUCUCGGCAACGGAUAUCUCGGCUCUCGCAUCGAUGAAGAACGUAGCGAAAUGCGAUACUUGGUGUGAAUUGCAGAAUCCCGUGAACCAUCGAGUCUUUGAACGCAAGUUGCGCCCGAAGCCAUCUGGCCGAGGGCACGUCUGCCUGGGUGUCAAAGCAU